AUGUGUGUAUUUGCAGACUCUCUUUGUACAUGGCUAAAGAUAACCCAGACAAGGAGCCCCAAAAGAGGGUCUGUAACACCAGGAGGAAUCCCUUGUGCUGCAUCAUGGAAGUUGUACACCAACACCUGGCGCUCCUUGUAUGAAAUGCAAAGAGAUAUAAUGAAUACUGUUUAUAAGAGCGGAAUUACAAGAUUAUUGGAAUGGAUAUUGUUUGAACUCUACAGCUUGAAGGCUAGUAAAUAAAAUUUUCCAUCAACAAUAUUUAUAAUUAUUACAGCUUUGUUACUUUAGGAAAGAGUGAACUGCUGAAAUACAUCUUAUUUUUGACUCAGCAUUUUUGUCAAAUAUAUUGACUUCAGUAAGUAAGGGCAUAACAUUUAUUUAUCCUCAACUGAAUACACUGAGCACAGCUGAUAGAUGCAGUUGUCAAAAUCUGUUAUGGCCCUGUCACCCUCUUCUGUGGGCAGCCCAGGGACAGAAACUUUUUACAAAGGGCAUGUGUUCCUCCAGAGACUGGGUGGCCAGUUCUAGUUCCAGUCCCUUCCGCUACCUCUCUACCAAGUCACUACCAAGUCACAGGAAGAGAGAAACAGUAAAUAUUCUGUUGCAGUUGUGAUCAAAGAUCCUUCAAGAUGGUUUAUGUUAGUGGGAAAGUUCUAGAAUAUCAUAUAGAAAAAUAUUCCUAGCUCCCCAUACCAAUUGACUUGAUCAAUUGAUCAAGUUCUCAUCAAGAAAUAUUAACAAAAUCCUCCCACUUUCCGCAUAAUGGUUCCCCUUGCAACAUGAACAAAGAAAAAGAAUAUGCUACAUCUGAAGUAUAAGUUAGUCAGUAAUUUUCCAUGCAACUAUGAAUAUGACUUCUCCAGAUUAAAUAUACUACAUUUCUGUUUUUUACAAACAGUAUUUUUUUUUUCAAAAAGACAACGCACUUGUCCAUCAUUACCCACUGUUGAUAAACACAUUGAAUUUUAUUUCAAAUUCCAUUAGUUUAAAUAUCUUUAACUUAUUAUCAUGUUUAUCAGUUCUAUCAGAAUUUUAAGGUGGACUUUUAUUUUUGCCCUUUCACAUUCAGCAUGGAGUGCACUAAAUUUUGGCAUUUCCUUCCAACUGACUAUAAGUGAUUCAUUUACCUUUAGCCAUCAGAAUUUCUCUGUCCUUUCUAACAGCAUAGACUUUAUCAAAAGCUGAGAUAAAAUAUUUAUUUAGCUUUUGAGCAAAAAUCAGUUUGCCUUUAAACUUUAACCUUUCUAACUUCAUAGUGAACACAUUUCUUCUUUUCCUAUUCUCUUUUUGUUUAAAAAGUUGAUUUAUUUUAUUUUUUUCAUUUUUAUUAUGGUGUUGUUAUUAUAACACAGUUCCUUCUUAAGCUCUGAAUUUGCUUUCUUUGACAAUCCACCUUUUUGACUUUGGAGCUUUUCUGCUAUCCCUAGUGCACUUUUCAAUAAACCAGGCCUGGAGGCUUUUUUUAUAUCUAUU
rnacentral:lncRNA from 1 species